rnacentral:rRNA from 1 species
UACGUAGGGUGCAAACAUUACCCGGAUUCACUGGGCGUAAAGAGUUCGUAGGCGGUUUUGUAAGUUGGAUAUUAAAGACCCCGGCUCAACCGGGGGAGUGUAUCCAAAACUGCAUAACUAGAGGCAUGCAGGGGAAGAUGGAACUUGUGGUGUAGCAGUGAAAUGCGUAGAUAUCACAAGGAACGCCAAUGGUGAAGACAGUCUUCUGGGCAUAGCCUGACGCUGAGGAACGAAAGCGUGGGGAGCGAACGGG